AGCCCAACAACUAGCUCCUCCAACCCCACCCACCCUAAAACCAUCCUUACCCCUAAAAACACUAACUCAACUAACCAAAUCAUUCUACCCCUUAAGUAUGGGAGACAGAAAAAGACCUAGAAGCAAUAGAAAAAGUACCGCAAGGGAAAGUUGAAAGAGAAAUGAAACAACUCAGUGAAGCAAUAAAAAGCAAAGAUUAGUCCUUGUACCUUUUGCAUCAUGUGUUAGUUAGUCACAAACAAGCAAAGAGAACUAUAGUUUGACUACCCGAAACCAAGGGAGCUACUCCAGGGCAGCCUAUUAAAGGGGCAAACCCAUCUCUGUUGCAAAAGAGUGGGAAGACCUUCGAGUAGAGGUGAUAAACCUACCGAACUUGGUGAUAGCUGGUUGCCUGUGAAAUGAAUAGGAGUUCAGCCUUUCGGCUUCUUUUGACCCCCUUGGCACCCGCCUUCCCCAGUAAAAAGAAACCAAAAGAGUUAGUCAAAGAGGGUACAGCCUCUUUGAAAAAGAAACAGCUUUGUAAGCUGGGUAAAGAUCAUAACCUUUUAAGGCAAGGUACUUUAGUGGGCUUAAAAGCAGCCACCUGUGAAGAAAGCGUUACAGCUCAAGAACUAGCUAAGCCCUCAAUACGGACCACCCCCUCUUAGCCCGCUACAAGUACCAGGCCGUCCCAUGUCUCCAUGGGAGCGACGAUGCUAAUAUGAGUAAUAAGAGCACUGAGCCUCUCCCUGCACAAGUGUAAGUCAGAACGAACCACUCACUGACAUUUAACGGCCCCAAAGGAGGGAAAUGAUCUUAAAAUAGAUUACAAGAAGUAACUUCAUUAUUUUACCGUUGACCUAACACAAGCGUGCAUUUUGGGAAAGACAAAAAGAAAGGGAAGGAACUCGGCAAACCACCUAACAAGCCUCGCCUGUUUACCAAAAACAUCGCCUCUUGCAAACCCCUAGAAUAAGAGGUCCCGCCUGCCCUGUGAUCAUGUAUUCAACGGCCGCGGUAUUUUGACCGUGCAAAGGUAGCGCAAUCACUUGUCUUUUAAAUGGAGACCUGUAUGAAUGGCAUAACGAGGGCUUAACUGUCUCCCCUUUCUAGUCAAUGAAAUUGAUCUCCCCGUGCAGAAGCGGGGAUAACAACAUAAGACGAGAAGACCCUGUGGAGCUUUAGACACAAAGAGAGCUCGAGUUAAAAGAGCUCGUAUAACAGCCUAAACCCAUCGAACCCUUUCUUAAUGUCUUUGGUUGGGGCGACCGCGGGGUAAUAGAUAACCCCCACGUAGAAUAAGGGACACCCUCCCCUAAAGCAAGAGCUACAGCUCUAAUUAGCAGAACCUCUGACUUUAUGAUCCGGCAAUGCCGAUCAACGAACCGAGUUACCCCAGGGAUAACAGCGCAAUCCUCUUCCAGAGCCCAUAUCGACAAGAGGGUUUACGACCUCGAUGUUGGAUCAGGACAUCCUAAUGGUGCAGCCGCUAUUAAGGGUUCGUUUGUUCAACGAUUAAAGUCCUACGUGAUCUGAGUUCAGACCGGAGUAAUCCAGGUCAGUUUCUAUCUAUGAUGUGAGCUUUUCUAGUACGAAAGGACCGAGAAGAAGAGGCCCCUUCGCCCCGUACGCCUCCCCCUUAUCUUCUGACAUCAACUCAACAAGGUAUAAGGGCAUACCCCUGAGCCACAGAUAAUGGCUA
rnacentral:rRNA from 1 species